rnacentral:ncRNA from 1 species
CUUAUCACGAGUGGCGGAGGGAUGGGCCCGAUGAAACCACGGCAACCGGAGCGAAAGCCCAAGGUGCCAAAUCCCGCAGCGCUGCACACCCGCAUGGCGGAGCGCUGACAGAUAAG